CACUAUGCCUAGCCAUAAACAUUGAUAGUAAACUACACCCACUAUCCGCCCGGGAACUACGAGCACCAGCUUGAAACCCAAAGGACUUGGCGGUGCUUUAGAUCCACCUAGAGGAGCCUGUUCUAGAACCGAUUACCCCCGUUCAACCUCACCUUUCCUUGUUUUCCCCGCCUAUAUACCACCGUCGUCAGCUUACCCUGUGAAGGACUUAUAGUAAGCAAGAUUGGCAUAGCCCAAAACGUCAGGUCGAGGUGUAGCGUAUGGAAAGGGAAGAAAUGGGCUACAUUCACUAAUAUAGUGAAACACGAAUGAUGCACUGAAAUACACAUCUGAAGGAGGAUUUAGCAGUAAGCAGAAAAUAGAGCGUUCCGCUGAAACUGGCCCUGAAGCGCGCACACACCGCCCGUCACUCUCCCCAAGCUCAUCUACCUUAAGUACCUAAGACCUUAAAAUUGCAAAGGGGAGGCAAGUCGUAA
rnacentral:rRNA from 1 species